GACGAACGCUGGCGGCGUGCCUAAUACAUGCAAGUCGAACGAACCGCGACUAAGUGCUUGCACUAAGUCAAGGUGAGUGGCGAACGGGUGAGUAACACGUGGGUAACCUACCUCAUAGUUGGGGAUAACAGUCGGAAACGACUGCUAAUACCGCAUAGCACAUAGGAUCACAUGAUCCAGUGAGGAAAGGUGGCGCAAGCUAUCGCUAAGAGAUGGACCCGCGGUGCAUUAGCUAGUUGGUAGGGUAAAUGCCUACCAAGGCGAUGAUGCAUAGCCGACCUGAGAGGGUGAUCGGCCACAUUGGGAGUGAGACACGGCCCAAACUCCUACGGGAGGCAGCAGUAGGGAAUCUUCCGCAAUGGACGCAAGUCUGACGGAGCAACGCCGCGUGAGUGAAGAAGGUCUUCGGAUCGUAAAGCUCUGUUGUUAGAGAAGAACAGCGCAUAGAGUAACUGCUAUGCGUGUGACGGUAACUAACCAGAAAGCCACGGCUAACUACGUG
rnacentral:rRNA from 1 species